AGAGUGUUCAAGACUAUUAGCAUGGUUCAAUUGUUAAGCUCGGUGUUGCCUUCACCAAAAUGGUGUAAGCCAAUUAGAUUUGGCUCUCCCUUGCUUAUAUUAUCUUUUAACUUGUAACUUUUCAAUGUGGGACACUAACAAAAUGUGAAUUUAAUCAAUCUAGUCAGCAAAAAUGGUCUUUUGUGCAUUCAAAUAAAGAGGAAUAGAUUUUUGAAGAUGCACAAUGACUUCUCAUUUAACUUAUGACAUAUAGGAAGAGGAGCAUGGAGAGGAUUCGUGUGGAAGAUGGUAGAAAACCAAUCAGCAAAAAAUUUAGUUCCAGCUUAAAUGGAUCCGCACGCACUCUUCCACCCAAUCUUGAUCCAAGUAAUGAGUCUUGGCUGUGACAUCCUUUUAAAGUUCUCCAUCUUUCUGGAUUUACCCAAAAUUUUUUCUUUCUUUCAGUAG
rnacentral:misc_RNA from 1 species